UUAAAUUGAAGAGUUUGAUCAUGGCUCAGAUUGAACGCUGGCGGCAGGCCUAACACAUGCAAGUCGAACGGUAACAGGAAGAAGCUUGCUUCUUUGCUGACGAGUGGCGGACGGGUGAGUAAUGUCUGGGAAACUGCCUGAUGGAGGGGGAUAACUACUGGAAACGGUAGCUAAUACCGCAUAACGUCGCAAGACCAAAGAGGGGGACCUUCGGGCCUCUUGCCAUCGGAUGUGCCCAGAUGGGAUUAGCUAGUAGGUGGGGUAACGGCUCACCUAGGCGACGAUCCCUAGCUGGUCUGAGAGGAUGACCAGCCACACUGGAACUGAGACACGGUCCAGACUCCUACGGGAGGCAGCAGUGGGGAAUAUUGCACAAUGGGCGCAAGCCUGAUGCAGCCAUGCCGCGUGUAUGAAGAAGGCCUUCGGGUUGUAAAGUACUUUCAGCGGGGAGGAAGGGAGUAAAGUUAAUACCUUUGCUCAUUGACGUUACCCGCAGAAGAAGCACCGGCUAACUCCGUGCCAGCAGCCGCGGUAAUACGGAGGGUGCAAGCGUUAAUCGGAAUUACUGGGCGUAAAGCGCACGCAGGCGGUUUGUUAAGUCAGAUGUGAAAUCCCCGGGCUCAACCUGGGAACUGCAUCUGAUACUGGCAAGCUUGAGUCUCGUAGAGGGGGGUAGAAUUCCAGGUGUAGCGGUGAAAUGCGUAGAGAUCUGGAGGAAUACCGGUGGCGAAGGCGGCCCCCUGGACGAAGACUGACGCUCAGGUGCGAAAGCGUGGGGAGCAAACAGGAUUAGAUACCCUGGUAGUCCACGCCGUAAACGAUGUCGACUUGGAGGUUGUGUCCUUGAGGCGUGGCUUCCGGAGCUAACGCGUUAAGUCGACCGCCUGGGGAGUACGGCCGCAAGGUUAAAACUCAAAUGAAUUGACGGGGGCCCGCACAAGCGGUGGAGCAUGUGGUUUAAUUCGAUGCAACGCGAAGAACCUUACCUGGUCUUGACAUCCACGGAAGUUUUCAGAGAUGAGAAUGUGCCUUCGGGAACCGUGAGACAGGUGCUGCAUGGCUGUCGUCAGCUCGUGUUGUGAAAUGUUGGGUUAAGUCCCGCAACGAGCGCAACCCUUAUCCUUUGUUGCCAGCGGUCCGGCCGGGAACUCAAAGGAGACUGCCAGUGAUAAACUGGAGGAAGGUGGGGAUGACGUCAAGUCAUCAUGGCCCUUACGACCAGGGCUACACACGUGCUACAAUGGCGCAUACAAAGAGAAGCGACCUCGCGAGAGCAAGCGGACCUCAUAAAGUGCGUCGUAGUCCGGAUUGGAGUCUGCAACUCGACUCCAUGAAGUCGGAAUCGCUAGUAAUCGUGGAUCAGAAUGCCACGGUGAAUACGUUCCCGGGCCUUGUACACACCGCCCGUCACACCAUGGGAGUGGGUUGCAAAAGAAGUAGGUAGCUUAACCUUCGGGAGGGCGCUUACCACUUUGUGAUUCAUGACUGGGGUGAAGUCGUAACAAGGUAACCGUAGGGGAACCUGCGGUUGGAUCACCUCCUUACCUUAAAGAAGC
rnacentral:rRNA from 1 species